AACGGCUGAACCAGCAACUUGGAGGAAUGUAUAGGUAAAGCUAAAAUAAUACGGAUUCGAUUUAUUCGUAUAAAGUUCUAGAUAGAAUUAUGAUAAUGACAUUGUCUAUCUAUAAGUCUUGACCAAAUUACGUGCCAGCAGUCGCGGUAAGACGUAAAAGACUAGUGUUAUUCAUCUUUAAUAGGUUUAAAGCGUACCUAGACGGUAAAUAAAGCCUUAACUGGGACUAAUUUAACUAGAGUUAAAUGUAAGGGUGCAUAAACGUACUGUUGAGUGUAGAGAUGAAAUUCGAUUAUACCAGAUAAUUGGCACGGGUUUAGGCGAAAGCAUCGCCUUAUGUAAUAACUGACGUUGUGGGACGAAGGCUUUGUAUCGCGAACAGGAUUAGAUACCCUAGUAGUCUAAGCAGAAAAUGAUGAGUGUCAUAGGUUAAAUAUUAUUUUUUCUAUAAAUGAAAGUGUAAGCAUUCCACCUCAAGAGUAAUUUGGCAACAUUGGAAUUGAAAUCAUUAGACCGUUUUUGAAACCAGUAGUGAAGUAUGUUGUUUAAUUAGCCAGCCCUCUAAGAACCUUACCACAACUUGAAUUACAAGCGUUGCACGGCUGUCUUUAGUUAAUGUCGUGAGAUUGUGGUUAGUUCCAUUAAAUUAGCGUAA
rnacentral:rRNA from 1 species